rnacentral:lncRNA from 1 species
GAGUGCUCUGGUUCAAAAAGAAAAAAAGAGAAUUUGAUAAUUAGAAGCUGAAUACAAUGAAUUAUAUAUAACAGGAAAAUGUGACCAAUUACCUCAUCAUAAUCUUUUGUGUCAUAAAACUAGAAAAACAACUGUGGGGCUAUUCACUAGUGGUUUUGCAUUUUUCUGGGACCAUAAUACAGAUUUUUAAAAAUCAUAUUUUUCCAGAUACAAAUCGAGCUUUAAGACUGUUGGAAGAAUAUGCAAAAAAUUAAGGAAACCGGAGGAACAGCCACUGAAGAAAGCGGUCAAAAAAGUGAUGGGCAUCUUUAAGAGUUCAUUAUUUCAGGCUUUACUGGGGGAUUUUGGAAUGAAAUGAUCAACUAAAGGAAGUUUACUUAGCCGCAGAAAGGAUACCAUGGACCUCCUUUUGCCUGCAUAUGGAAAUGAUCCUGGGCAGGAGGGCAGAGUGUGAUAACCCACCUGGCCUUGGGUUAUCUUCCGAGUCUGAAGGAUUCCUCUCCAGCUCUAGGGAUACAAAGGAAGGUAAAAGACAGUCCCUACCCUCUGUGAGGAGCUCAUGA